rnacentral:sRNA from 1 species
UUCCAGUCAGUUUCCUGGUGUAGUGCA